rnacentral:rRNA from 1 species
UUUGUUAAGUCAGAUGUGAAAGCCCGGGGCUCAACCUCGGAACCGCAUUUGAAACUGGCAGGCUAGAGUCUUGUAGAGGGGGGUAGAAUUUCAGGUGUAGCGGUGAAAUGCGUAGAGAUCUGAAGGAAUACCAGUGGCGAAGGCGGCCCCCUGGACAAAGACUGACGCUCAGAUGCGAAAGCGUGGGUAGCAAACAGGAUUAGAUACCCUGGUAGUCCACGCCGUAAACGCUGUCUACUUGGAGGUUGAGGUUUAAGACUUUGGCUUUCGGCGCUAACGCAUUAAGUAGACCGCCUGGGGAGUACGGCCGCAAGGUUAAAACUCAAAUGAAUUGACGGGGGCCCGCACAAGCGGUGGAGCAUGUGGUUUAAUUCGAUGCAACGCGAAGAACCUUACCUACUCUUGACAUCCAGAGAACUUUCCAGAGAUGGAUUGGUGCCUUCGGGAACUCUGAGACAGGUGCUGCAUGGCUGUCGUCAGCUCGUGUUGUGAAAUGUUGGGUUAAGUCCCGCAACGAGCGCAACCCUUAUCCUUGUUUGCCAGCACGUAAUGGUGGGAACUCCAGGGAGACUGCCGGUGAUAAACCGGAGGAAGGUGGGGACGACGUCAAGUCAUCAUGGCCCUUACGAGUAGGGCUACACACGUGCUACAAUGGCAGAUACAGAGGGCAGCGAAGCUGCGAAGUGGAGCGAAUCCCUUAAAGUUUGUCGUAGUCCGGAUUGGAGUCUGCAACUCGACUCCAUGA